rnacentral:tRNA from 1 species
UGUAAUUUAGUUUAGAUAGAAUAUUUGUUUUUGGUGCAAAAGGGUAUAGUUACAA